rnacentral:tRNA from 1 species
UGAGAUGCAGCUCAGUGGCAGAGUGCUUGCCUAGCACUUGUGAGACCCUGGGUUCAAUCCCCAGCACCUCAA